rnacentral:rRNA from 1 species
AGGGAAUCUUCCACAAUGGACGCAAGUCUGAUGGAGCAACGCCGCGUGAGUGAAGAAGGUCUUCGGAUCGUAAAGCUCUGUUGUUGGUGAAGAAGGAUAGAGGCAGUAACUGGUCUUUAUUUGACGGUAAUCAACCAGAAAGUCACGGCUAACUACGUGCCAGCAGCCGCGGUAAUACGUAGGUGGCAAGCGUUGUCCGGAUUUAUUGGGCGUAAAGCGAGCGCAGGCGGAAUGAUAAGUCUGAUGUGAAAGCCCACGGCUCAACCGUGGAACUGCAUCGGAAACUGUCAUUCUUGAGUGCAGAAGAGGAGAGUGGAACUCCAUGUGUAGCGGUGGAAUGCGUAGAUAUAUGGAAGAACACCAGUGGCGAAGGCGGCUCUCUGGUCUGCAACUGACGCUGAGGCUCGAAAGCAUGGGUAGCGAACAGGAUUAGAUACCCUGGUAGUCCAUGCCGUAAACGAUGAGCGCUAGGUGUUG